rnacentral:lncRNA from 1 species
AAGCCAAAAUCAACAUUCAAAAGAAACCUAUCAGAUUUGAGAAGUUCAAAUCAUUACUCCCAAAAUUUUGGUGGGUGAGCAUUCUUCUCUUGAAUCUGGGUUUGGGUUUGAAUCUAGGUUUGUACUUCAGAAAAGUCACUCACCUUGACUUUUUGAGGCCUCUUAUGAUGUUCUUUCGUUCAAAUUUGAUCUGAAGCAUUUAAGUCGAAUUAUUCAAUCGAUAAACGUGUGAGAAUUAGAGGUUGCUUUCAAGAUUUACAGAGUUUGUCGACAAAAACGUAAGAGAUUCGUAAACGAAUUGGAAGAUUUAAUGAAACACAAUGAGAUUCAAAAUUGAAGAGUUUUAAUAAAUUGAAAUGAGAAUUCUUACCAAACUUUUGACGAAUUUAUGGGAUGUGAUUGACGGAACUCAACAACCGGUAGAAAAAUGAGCUGAAAUUGGGAAUAGAUUUUAAUUUGGGAACAAAGAUAAUUAU